rnacentral:lncRNA from 1 species
GAAAGAAUCUGUGGAUGUGGGGUUUGGCCUGUCUCAACUGUGCUGCUGGCAGUGAGGAUGUGGAGGAGAUAUUUAUUUUGGCAAACACGGGACCCCUGGCACAUUCCUUCUGCCAGUCGACCAAAGGGCCCUGUAUCUGUUCGUAAGAGCCAUCUUUUUUUGCAGCUCAGAAAAUAUUUUGAAAUCAUGAAAAACAAAACAGAGAAAAAACCCACCUCCCUUGUGCUAUUUUGACCCCUUCCCCUGGCACUGUUUGCUACAAAUAAUUAUAAAACUAAGGAGAGCUAGGGACCAGUCUUUUUCUUACUCUCCUGUCUUGAUCAUCCACUGUGUACAGAUAUCCAGGCUGGGCAUUGUGGAGUAAUACAGAAGCAACAGACAGUAGGAUCUGCCUUCAGGAAGCUUCAAAACACUUCAAGAGAUGCAAAAGAGCUGGGUUUGAAUUCUUACCCUGUUGCUUAUUAGCCAUGUGUCCAUGAGUCUCUGGGCUUCAGUCUCUCACCUGUAAAAUGAGGGAAACCAUACCAGCCCUAUCUACCUCAAAAAGUUGUUUUAUGGAUUGAAUGGGACAGUAUAUACGAGAGUAGCAUGUACCCUGAAAGGGUUAGGGACUGAGAUUUUCAUUGAUGGACGCAGCACCUUCUCUGCAACACUUGUCUCACCUAGGGCAAGAGAUUUGUCCUGAAGUCACCCUGUUUGAGUCAGAGGUAAGAUGUGAAACCAAGUCUUCCUGAUUCUGAGGUUGGCUCUGCCAGGCUGCCUCUUUUUACCCCCAAUGUGCUACAUAAAUGCAAACCAUUUUAAUAGUUUUUAUCAUUUUUUUAUUUUUAGCUAAUAAGAGAAGACAGCAGUAAACAGAGCAGGUUGACGCCUAGGCUUCCCUUGCCCUGACUCAUGAAAGGCACAGGGGAGUGUUUCCUCUGGAUGUGGAUAGUGUUCUUUUGCGUAGAUCCCUCCAAGUUGUUCAGGAUCACCGUAUUGCCACUAAUGGCCAUUACAUUCUAUUGUACCACAAUGUUUCAGUCUCUGUGUACAAUGUUCUCCUGGUUCUGCUCCUCUCGCUCUGCAUCACUUCCUGGAGGUUGUUCCAGUCUCCAUGGAAUUCCUCCACUUUAUUAUUCCUUUUUGCACAAUAGUAUUCCAUCACCAACAUAUACCACAAUUUGUUCAGCCAUUCCCCAAUCGAUGGACAUCCCCUCAUUUUCCAUUUUUUUGCCACCACAAAGAGCGCAGCUAUGAAUAUUCUUUUUUUUAAAAACAUUAUUUUAUUUGGUCAUUUUCAUACAUUGUUCAUUGGAAACAGAUCAUUUUCUUUUCCUCCCCCCUACCCCCCCUUCCCUAGCCAAUGCAUAAUUUGUCUGGGUAUCACAUGGGUCCUUGCUCUGAACCCAUUUCCUUGUUGUUG